UACGUAGGGGGCAAGCGUUGUCCGGAUUUAUUGGGCGUAAAGAGCGUGUAGGCGGUUUGGUAGGUCCGCUGUGAAACUCGAGGCUCAACCUCGAGACGCCGAUGGAAACCAUCUGACUAGAGUCCGGAAGAGGAGAGUGGAAUUCCUGGUGUAGCGGUGAAUGCGCAGAUAUCAGGAAGAACACCCGUGGCUAAGGCGGCUCUCUAGUACGGUACUGACGCUGAGACGCGAAAGCGUGGGGAGCGAACAGG
rnacentral:rRNA from 1 species